GUUGGUUUCGGGACUGCGAGAAGAAUCCACGAAGUCCUUACUUGUGGAUUUUGGUGAAGAUCUUAAGGGGCUUUGUUGCUGGUUUGAAGAGGUUUCCAGCAGUGUUGCUUGAGGAUCCGAGACCCUAUUGCUGCCAGGAAUUGCAUUAGAGAGCCACAGGUUUCGGCUGCUGCGCCUUCCGCGGAUCAGGA